rnacentral:rRNA from 1 species
UACGGAGGAUGCGAGCGUUAUCCGGAUUUAUUGGGUUUAAAGGGUGCGCAGGCGGCGUGUCAAGUCAGCGGUAAAACGUCGGGGCUCAACCCCGGCCGGCCGUUGAAACUGGCGUGCUCGAGUUGGAGAGAAGUAUGCGGAAUUCGUGGUGUAGCGGUGAAAUGCAUAGAUAUCACGAAGAACCCCGAUUGCGAAGGCAGCAUACCGGCUCCACACUGACGCUGAGGCACGAAAGCGUGGGUAUCGAACAGG